GAAAACAGGCAUUCUAUGGAAAAUUUUAACUGUUUCAUAAGUUAUUACACUGAGAGCGACAAAUACUUUUUAAUCACUAAUUAUACAAAUAAAAUGAUUGAACGUAUAACGUAACUAUUUGUACAACACAAUUCGCUCCAAAUCUAAACAAGAAUGAGGAUGAGUUAAAUAACCCAUCCACAAAUAGAAACAAGCUCGUAUUGCCUUCAAUUUAACCACCAGUAAAUUUGACGCCCUUGACCAGAUUGACACAAGCUCGUGGGAAAUCUCAAAUGUUAGAGCAACCAAUAGCAUUUGUUGUUCUCCGUAAUGCUUAACUUAUUGUGCAAAAUUCAACAGUAAUGCCAAAGAUAUUAAGAUGGUCAUGAGUAGAGAUAUAGCUGGUCUGGAACUGGCAUUUGGCAAAUAAGGAUAGGCAUCUGGAGGUGGCAUCACACAGUUAUCACCAUUGAAAUAAACUCUUCUUGGAAAAGCCCAACCUUUGUCAAAAGUGAAAGUGUUCUGGUCUUUUUGGAAUAGGAGCUCAGACUGCACAUUACCAAGAGGACCAGCUUGAUUGAGCAGAUCAUUGUAGAACUUAACUCCCCAUAACAUCGCAGUAUCAUUUAGGUCACCAUAUGGGCUCAAUGACUUGUAGUUAAAGCUGAAU
rnacentral:misc_RNA from 1 species